ensembl:lncRNA
CUCUCAUCCAUCAAACAACUCCAGAGCUUCACGGAAGAAACGGCGAGAACAGCCACGACCACAAAGCUCCUCAGCCGGAGACGAGCGACAAGACUCUUGUGAUUAGCGCGUGACAGACGGAGAAGACGUGAUGCCUUCAGCGCGUCUACGCUUCACGCCGGGGUCCCAGGAUUGUGCCCAAAAACAACCGGAAGCGUUUUCCCCUCGGAUCAAACUUCAUCUGGACUGCUAUGCUCAGAAAGGUGUUGAGGUGCAGCCGUCAACCACCAGCUCGGAGAAAAGAGAGCGAGGAAGCGGCGAAUCCUAACAAGCUUUCGGAGAAGAGUUCCAGCGUUCACAACCCAACCCGUGCAUUGUGGCCGGGUUUUGAAUGGCGGCGGUUUGGCUUGGAGCGUCGAGCAUAUAAACUUCACAACCCCGCCGUAUUGGCUGAACUUACCCUGAACAGAUGCUCGAAAACUCCAACGGGAGCCCAGGCGUGGCUCUCGUCACCAUGUGCAUUUGUGUUAUUGUCCCGCGAGCGCUGAAAAAGUCGGUGAACGCGGCCAAAAGAAACACAGCAACGAAAAAGAACAUGGCGUGUUAUGACUGCGGCCAGCAGUGUUAAUAACAAGUUAAUAAUGCAUUUUUUGUCGGAUAAACGCGGCCCUCAUAUUGAAGUAGAAGCUUGAAGCUUUUCUAAACACGACACAUGAGCAACACAUGUAUACAAUGAAUGCACGUCAUUUUACUGAAUCCACAUAUUGUCGAAUUAUUAUUAUUUCAUCAAACUACACUCAAAGGGUGUCACGGUGUGGUUUUAUAUCCGGUCUUAUUUUGUAGUUUUCUGCUUCUUGUCUCCCUGGGUAACUUCACUUCCUGCCUUGUCCUGUCAUCCCCUGUGAUUGUCUGAUUGUUUCCACCUCCAAUCACCUGCACCUCCCUAGUGUAUUUAAGCUGUGUGUGUCUCCUGUCGCUUGUCGCGUCAUUGUCUAUCGUCCUGGAUGUGCCUCGUUCCUGUCUGCCUUUUUGCCCUCCUGUUCCUGUCUGCCUUUUUGCCCCCCCUGUUCCUGUCUGCCUUUUUGCCCCCCCUGUUCCUGCGUGUGUUUUUGCCACUUGGCCAUUUUUGUGUUGGAGUUUAAAACUCUGCAUUUGAGUCCUGCCUUCCUACUCAACCCUGACAAAGGGGGCCGCUAUCGGAUUUAGUUGUUCUUACUCUGCCAGUCCCUUCUGCUCACUUUGUUUCAGCGCCGUGCCAACGGAGGGGAGAGAACUGGCAGAGCAAGUUUAAAAAUGUAGUCCAACAACAAGGAUUUGUAACUUCAUCUUUUAAUUGCAAGUGGGUUGAUUUUGGCACAGAUGACACACAGAUUGGUGGUGAUGGACGCGCCAAGGCUGUGGGUGUGGCAACACAACAGUUCCUUCUCUAGAAGUACAACGCCAUGAACAUAAAACCAGCACUCAAAACUUUUCUACUGACAUACAAACAUUAACGGUGACUCCGGAUAGCCGUCGCUGCACCUGCAGUGACUGUCAAGGGCUGGUAGAUGAAUGUCCCUCCUGCUAAGCUCGAUCUGGAUUUGUUUGCGCAGCUUCUACCGAGAUGUUAUCUAUCUCAUGAAGAAUUAUGAAAGCGUUCUUGUGGUGACGAAGCCCUGCUUGGAGUUUUAGAGUGAAGGUUUCUUGUAGAUGUGCAGAUAGAGUGGAUGAGUGGGUGGACCAACGUGGGUGAUGCAUGCACAAACAAUGUGAGCAGACAGUAGGUCUGCUCAUGUGUAACUGAUUGUUUCAGAGAGAAAUAAAGCCCAAAACAUUCUGAGCUGCGAGGGAGACGUUGAAUGUGAGUCUACCCCUCGAGGUGGAUGCGUGAAGUUAAGUUGUUCCUUAACUAAAGUAGAAUAUUAGACACUAACAAACUAAAUUUGUUUUGCAACUUUAUGUUACUGGAAAGUAUUUAUUGUGAUACUAUAGAUUGAAAACUGGAUCUUGUCGUCAGUAUUUUGUUCAAUGGGAUGAAGAGAAGCUGGCUGAAGUUAACGGAGACAUCAGCACCUAAAAUGACUGGAACAAUGAAAGAUUACAGCUUCAGACCCUUGAGAAACAGACACCACAGAGCUACAGGAACACAAUUAAACCCAAGCAUAAAAAAGAAAAAUAGUGAGCAACAACUAUUACUAGGUGUUAAGUCGGUGAAGCUCCUCCAGAAUCAAACUAGCCAAGCAAUCAAAAACGUCACAAAAUAUAUCUUAUACCUUAAACUGGGGCUGCUGGGAUUGUGACAGAAAACUCAUUUUCACAUCUGUUUCAGCGGCUUAACAAAUCUAAAUGGGUCUCCUGAAGCUCUGUUCUGGGACCGGUUCAAUAAUUCAUUGGAUCUGAGCUCAGGACGUUACCUCCACCGCCUCAGGCUUCUUGGCCACGACCGGCGCUCGGGCCGGGAUGGCCGCCUUCUGCCAUUAGCACGGCUCUGAUCAGAUUUACAGUUGGGCCUUUGGCCAACAGAGAGGCCCGGAGAAGGAGAGUCCUGGCCGCCAUGGCUGAAGCACACGGGGGGGGGUCAUUUAGCAGGCUGCAGUGACCACUGAUGCACCGCACUUAGCAUGCCGCCGUCAUUAGGGCACACGGUGCGUGAUGCCCCCGCCAGGAAGAGAAGCAGUGCAGGUGGCUCAGCACGUGAGAACAAGCCCUUUUGAUUUCCCCUCUAAAUACCCUGGUACACCCACUGAUAUUUGUUAUUUUAGGCAUCAAUGAUGGAGGUCAGUAUAGUGAAGGUUUCAUGUAACCGUGUCUGGGCCCAAAGAGCAAAUCAACGCCGACUAAAGAGGAAACGAUGAUGUCACAGAAGGAGGGAUUGGAGGGAAGAAAAUCAAAAGAUAGAGAGUGUGUCGAGCGGCGGCGACCCUCCCACAGCCCUACCUGUGGUGGAACAGAUUGGACCCGCUGCAGCGCGUUCUGAUUGCCGCGGCGCUUGAGCGUCAGCUGACAGAUGGCUGCCUGCAAGCAGCCCGGUGCGGCGGGCCGUCCGCAUCCUCCACUGAUUGGAAGCUCAUGCACACACGCGGCCAACACGCCUCGCGCCCACGUACAUAGACUGGUGACAUUAAAAGCAAAAAGGGUGAGGGAGGAACGGAGGACAUGGUUGUUUUUCAUAUUGGUGGCACGUUGCUGUUCCUCCCCACGGGUCGCAGCCAUUGUUCACAAUCAGACAGGAUAUAUGAAAGGAGGGAAUAAGGUUGGACCUUUUCCACUUCAAUGUUUAAUAGGAGGGUAAAAAUGAUGCUUCAAGAAAUAGAUAAUAAAGCUCUCUUUAUUGCAGGCAUUCUAACAAAGGUGACUGUCUCAAAACUCAUUUCCAUGUCUUAGGGCUCUUCCAAAUAUUCCCUCAGCACUAUGAGUCACAAUUUAAAACGGUGUGUAUGCAUAAGGCCGCCACAUGCUACAGAGUAAGGAUAGAGAGGAAGACAUUCUUUCCUGGGGAAGUUGUGAGCCGUGAUUUCCUAAUCUCAUCUGAAAUGAACUGUAUCAAAUCUCCUAUUGAUAUCCUUACAAAUUCCUACGUAUCAUGUUAAUUACUAUGUCAUCAAUUUACAAAACAGUUCUCUUGUUAAGUCCAAAAAUGUGGACUACUUGUAUUGAAUCAUGAAUCUAGAUGAAAUCUGAAAAAAUCAGUCGAGUUACAUUAAAUAGACGCAACGUCCUGUGUGACUAAGAACCCUCACAGAUGAGCGAUAACGUGCACGUACAGCACACUCGUCGGUUUAGAUGAUCGAGAUCAUCCGCAGGUCACAAAGGGGUUUAAAAGCAGCCACACGCUACGCCGUGAAAUGAUCCUAUCUGCAUUCUUCAGCGUAGACGCGCCCUCGUCAAAAACACCCUCGAACAAUCCAGUCAGCAAACUCAUGCGACUGUGAAAUAGACAAUAUAGCAUAUCUCAGCCGCCACAUCCCAACACAAUUCAUUUUCUUUCUGCACCAUUUACACUCCCACACACACCCACACACACACACACACACACACACACACACACACACACACACACACACACACACACACAUGGGAUCUCAGGGCAAAUGGUUUGCAUGGAUCUCGUGCCUUCCAAACACCUCCUGUUGCCCUAAAUAUCUUGUAAUGAAAGGCGCGGCCUCGGUAAUCCGUGACGGAAGGCAGUUUCAUGCUAGUUUAGCUUCCAUCACCUGUGUCGCUCCCUCCACCGCCCCACCGAGACAAGCCCUCGUCUCCGGCGCACUCGUCCUCCGUCGUCCUCCGUCGUCCCGUUUUUCCUUUUGCAGAGAAACCGCACGGGUCGUCUACACGUAAAACACGUCUCGUCGAGGUAAAUGAGGAUGAUUUUUUUGGUAUGGUUGCUCAUGCGAGCGUUUUAUUGUGAAAAAAGUAAGAUGCAGGUGUUUGAGUGUCCUCCAAAGCGGCCUGAAGAGAAGCCGCAUACGGCCAGUCCCUCUGAUUUCCUGUUAACGGUGUUUGUGUUGCGUCUUUUCGGCGAGCGAGACGCUGAUGAAGGUGGAUGGCAGCAGACAGCGGCUCGGAGCCUCGGCCCUCCGAGGAAGACCCUCUCACGCGUUCUGGCAGCCCUUCCAACAGAAUGGAUGAUUCUGGAACAGCAGCUCCCUCUUCACCUCGUGCCAAGACAUUUACAAUUCAAACAUGGACCAAGGUGCUGAAGAGGAAUGUUAGAAGCACUUUGAUUUGUUUUUAUGAGAGAUUUGGCAGAGGUUGGAUGGAAGCCCCUGGUGUCGCUCUUCAAAGGAAUAUAAAUUGCUGUUUUUGACAUUUUACUUUUUUCCCUCAGUGUUGAUUUCCGUUUUUGUCCCUACUUUUUUUUAUGGAACACUGAUAUACUACAUGUCAAGUCCAAAAGAGCUGUGUGGGCACUUUAGCCGUAUUUGUACAGUAUUUUACGUUCACUGCCCGCCGCCGUUUGGCACCUUCGAUAAACCAGCACUUGUUUAAUUGUGCAUGAAGCUAAUUAGUAUUGAAUACCUGACUUAGAGCAAUCUUUCGUACAAAGACGUAGAGUGUCUGACCUAACGUUGGAAUAAGAGAUUCACAUUAAUAUCCAACUUAUCGACCUUCCCACCACGCUAGUAUUAUUAUUUCCUUGCACACAGGAUUAACCUUGAUGCCGCGGCCUGGAGGGAGUUACUGCUGUGACUUGUUUCAUCUGGCGGAGGAGGAAAGAAGAUGACACCGCAACGCUGCUGCAGAUGCAAAACGCGGAGUAACGGAUGCCGGCGCUACGAGGGAAAUGUGUAGCCGUCUACUUUACCGGGGUUUCUCAUUCCAAUCAGCGAGUGUCGGCCCAGUCGGCCGCGUAAUUAAUGACUUGCUGACUGGCCACUAACAGUCCAACGAGUCUGUCCGACGGCAUCGUCGAGCAGCUGAAGCCUGCAGGAAAGAGAGAGGAAUGGCUCCAUUGAUACUUCAUGUGCUGCACUGCGCCCCUCAAUCAUGGGCAUGUUAUUCAAUCAAGGAGGGGGGGGGGUUGUAAUCGAUGUAAGCUAAAACAGAUUUUCCAAUAGCAACUUAUGAAAGUAGUAAAUGUAGUCUUCCUAGUGAAUGCACAUGUAAAUAUAUAUAUAUAUAUAUAUAAGUAGUGCUGUAUGAAAGAAAGGCAAGAAAAUCCAUUUUUCCGUGGUACAUUUUGAAGGCAAACCUUUGAGCUUUGAAAUAACCCGAGAACAACAAGUCUACUCCUACUCCAGAGGAGCCAAAUUUAGCACAUUUAUUCUUGUGUUUAGCGUUUGAAUGACAUGAGGCAUUCAUGUUGUUAAAUCUUUAAUGCCUACAUUUUACAUUUUACCAUUUCAAAAUAAAUAGCUUUUCAAACGCGUCCGUUGAAGCCUCUUUGUUUCCCUGAACUCGCGAUCCCGAAGAUACUCAGGUUGUUGUCUGGGUGCGCCCGCAUUAGUGCACGCCCGCAAAACACCAAUAUACGGG